GCCUAGGGAUCUGCCCAGUCGAGGGGAGUAACAGUUGGAAACGACUGCUAAUACCGCAUACGCCCUACGGGGGAAAGGAGGGGACCUUCGGGCCUUUCGCGAUUGGAUGAACCUAGGUGGGAUUAGCUAGUUGGUAAGGUAAUGGCUUACCAAGGCGACGAUCCCUAGCUGUUCUGAGAGGAUGAUCAGCCACACUGGGACUGAGACACGGCCCAGACUCCUACGGGAGGCAGCAGUGGGGAAUAUUGCACAAUGGGCGCAAGCCUGAUGCAGCCAUGCCGCGUGUGUGAAGAAGGCUCU
rnacentral:rRNA from 1 species